rnacentral:rRNA from 1 species
AACGAACGCUGGCGGCAGGCCUAACACAUGCAAGUCGAACGAGAACGGAUUAUAGCUUGCUAUAAUUGUCAGCUAAGUGGCGCACGGGUGAGUAAUGUAUAGGUAAUAUGCCUCUUACUAAGGGAUAACAAAUGGAAACGUUUGCUAAUACCUUAUACUCCUUAUUAACAGAAGUUAAUAAGGGAAAGAUUUAUUGGUAAGAGAUUAGCCUGUAUUGUAUCAGUUAGUUGGUGGGGUAAUGGCUUACCAAGACUAUGACACAUAACUGGUUUGAGAGGAUGAUCAGUCACACUGGAACUGAGACACGGUCCAGACUCCUACGGGAGGCAGCAGUGGGGAAUAUUGCACAAUGGACGAAAGUCUGAUGCAGCAACGCCGCGUGGAGGAUGACACAUUUCGGUGCGUAAACUCCUUUUAUAUGAGAAGAUAAUGACGGUAUUAUAUGAAUAAGCACCGGCUAACUCCGUGCCAGCCGCCGCGGUAA